CGGACGGACCAAUCGGGUUCCACCGGCUCCGCGAUUGCGCCGCGCUGCGGCCUGGCUCCUUUUCAAGUUCUUUUUUGAGUGGCUUGCUCUACUUGGUCUUUACAAUCUAUCACCACUGCCUAACAGAUGGUAGUUCUUGGAUAUCUGAAAGCAGAAGGGCACAAGAAUAAAGCUGAGGAUAGAGUCGUAAGAGGAAAGCAGCCAACAUUAUCAAGGAUCAUUCCCACUCUGGCUAUACUCUCUUUCACCCUCAUCCAUUGGGCAGAAGAUACAGAAGUUUGAAAACAUGUACCAACAGAUUCAAGAACAACUUCUUCCCCAGUGGACUGCUAUCAGACUUAUGAACAGCCAUCUCAUGUCUUAGAGUUAUCGUUCUCUGCACAUUCUAUGUAGCUGUAAUACUACAUUCUGCAUCCUAUUCU